CCCAACUUAGAGCUCUGCCAAGGUCUCGGCGUCUCACGGGCUGCUCCUGCUGGUUGUCUGAGAGGAGCUGACAAAGUGAUGAAGGGGCAGAGUAUCUCCUCAACAAGUUUUCUGAUGCCACAAAGCCGGGAGGAGUGGCCGAUACCCCAGAGGGCUGUGCAGCUCUGCAGAAGGACCUCGGCAGCUUGAAGAGAGUCUCAGAGAACUAUCUGGCAUUCAGCAAAGGCAAAUGCAGGGUCCUGCACCUGGGGAGGAAUAACCCUGGGCACCAGCACAGGCUGGGGCUGACCUGCUGUGGAGCAGCUCUGAGGAGAAGGACCUGGGGGUCCUGGUGGACAACAAGCUGUCCCUGACCAGCAGUGCGUCCCUGGGGCCAAGGCCAGUGGUGUCCAGGGAUGCCUAAGGAAGAGCGUUGCCAGCAGCUCGAGGGAGGUGAUCCUGCCCCUCUACUCAGCCCUGGUGAGGUCCCACCUGGAGUGUGCAGUUCUGGGCUUCCCGGCCCAAGAGAUGUUAAUCUCCUGGAGAGGGUCCAACAGAGGGUGACAAAGAGGAUAAGGCGACUGGAGCAUCUCAACAGGAAAGGCAGAGAGAGCUGGGCCUGCUCAGCCUUGAGAAGACGUAGCUAGGAGGGGACCUUAUUAAUGUGUAUAAAUAUCCAAAGCAGGGGUGCUGAGGGGUUGGGUUCAGACACCUCUCAGAUAUGAGGCAAGAAACUGAUGUGCUGGAAGCUCCACCUGAAUAUGAGGAAGAGUGUUUUUACUGUGCAGGUGACCACACAGACUGGAAUAGAUUGCCCAGAGAGGUUAUAGAGUCUCCCUCAUUGGAGAUACACAAGAACCUUCUGGAUGCACUCCUGUGCCAUGUGCUCUAGGACAACCCUUCCUAAGCAGAGAGGCUGGAUCAGAUGACCCACUGUAAUCCCUUCCACACAAUUUACCCAUUCUGUGGUUCUGUGAAAGUGAGCUGGUUCCAUCUGCUAAAUGUUGUUAAAAGGAGAACACUAAAUGCUCUUUCUACACAAUGGCUAUAGUUACCACCAGGGAUAUGGGAUUGCAAAUGAUAGGAUGAAAGAGGAGGUGGAGGCAGUAACAAAUAGAAGGAUAAUCCCGUUACGAUGUGUGCCAAUCUGUUUGCAGCCCCCUUUUUUUUUUUACUGGAAGACAUAGACUGGGAUUUUGUGGUUGUCAGCCUUCAGAGACACCCUUUGUGGCUCCCUAUGUGCACUUAUCACUGGGGUUUAGGUGGUUGAACAUUGGCCCAUAUAGUUUUUUCUUUAGUAUUUUUACACAAGAUUCCCUACCUCUACUGCACCGAUUUUUCCUCAUGUGGCUACACUUCUAUUAAUCCAUUUCACAUUCUGCCACUUCCUUUACCAGCAGAGACACUCUAGAUUUAUGACAGGUUAUUAUUACAAAUUGUUGGAACAUUAAUGCUGUGGAAAUGGGGUUGUACCAAAGAUGAUACAGUGGUUUGAAGGGAAGGCUUGAAAGUGCAGGCAAGAGUAAAAUAGGGUAAGUGAAGGAAUGGGCUUGCUUUCUGACUUUUGGAAGCUUGUAGAGAGGACACAGAGACAAGAAAGGGCUGGGGAGAAGCAAAAGCUGAGAUGUGGUGAGAGAAAUCUGGUACAGUCCAACACAAUUAUGCUUAGAAUGAUAUUUUGAUAAUAACAAUCAUCUGGCAAGACCCUGUAUUACUCUUCUAAGUAUAUCAGAAGGCUUUAGCUUUCAGCUGUAGACACCAAAAUAUAUUUUCACAAGUCUUAAAAUGAGAUUCUGUUCUUAAGAAGACAUUGAAAGUUCUUGAGGGAGUGUCCACUUUUGUAGGGUGGUAUUCCAUUUCCUGCCCAUUCAUUGAUGGAGUUAGAAAAUAUGUUUUUGGAAAGCCAAAGUGGACAAAAUGUCAUUUUUUAAACUGGAGUAAAACAUUCAACAUAACACAGCGGAAGCAGAUGUCAAAGUAUGAAUAAAUCUGUAAAUUAUGAAAAUAGCUUUUACGUAGGGGAAAAGAAAUUUAAAACCCUGUGUUAUGGAUAGCAGCAAGAUUUUUGGCGAAGAACUGAAGGGCUGAAUUAAGAAGACUGAUCGCAGAGCAAGAGACAUGGAACAAAGAGGACUUUUAAAACAUUUUGAAUGCCUUUGAAGCAUUCCUUAGUGAUGGUGUAGCCAUCUGUUGAUUGACAUGUUGAAGACAGGUGGCAAGAACGGGAUCAGAGUGUGACUUGACAGCCUUGUAGAGUUGGAUAUCAUCUGCAAAGAGAUGAUGCCCUUUGUUGAAACUGGCAAUGAGAUCUCCCAGAUGAACAUGAGAAAUAAGAAAGAAAUAAAUGAAAAAAAAACCCUCUAAGAGAUGCACACAGUCAUAGUGUUCUCUCAUGCAUGCUAGUAUAGAUUCAAAGCAAUUGUAAUUCUGACUUCAUUAGACUGUGUCAUGGAUAACAUUGAUGUGAGAGAGGAAUCAAUUCCAUGUGCCUUCUGUUAUGCAAAAGACACUUUGGGCAUCCUCCCCAGGUUGUACCAGUACUGGCAACUGAGACAGAUGUUUUGAACAUGUUUCUGGAUGAAUCAGGUUUACUCAGCAGUGUAUCUACUGGUAGGGAUGUGUGUUUAUAGAGAAACUGGCUCAAACUUGGCCAAAAGCGGAGAAAUACCUAAACAGAACCUUUUUGUUCAGAUCUUCCACCAAGAAUUGAAACUUGAAAUCCUUUUUGACUUCUGUUUCCUUGUUUUUUUUGCUUGACAUGGGGCCUUGGCCUGAGCGAUGUUUACAGCAGUCCAGAUGUGAAGGCUGGUUCCGCAUUAAGUCACCCUGAUCUUCUAAUCCCAGCCUGUCACAGGAACAAGAAUUUCAUCUACAGUUGCUGAAUUUUUCAAAGUGGAGGAAAAAGGACUUUACAUAGUCCUGAGGGGGAGAGUUUGCCCAUCUUGAGGGAGAAACAAGAGCAGAAGAACAAACUCUGCCACCAAGCUGAUGCCAAUGACCCUAUGUGCCUGCUAAGGAAACCAGACCUGAGCUGGGUCUGAGCUGGCCUGUAAGGGAGACAGAAACUGGAUGCCAGGCUGACAGAAGGCUGUGAAUAUGGAGGUCCUGCUGAGACAUGAAGCUGUAAUUGUAAGCAACCAGGUGACCUAGAACGAGGUACAACACAGUGUAUGACUACUACAAAUGGAUGAAGCUUUGGAUUUACCCUGGAUGUGGGAUGAGUUAUGCAAGCAGUCGUAUGAACUAUAAGCAGAGAAUGAUAAAACACAAAAACAUUUCUCUUGCCCACACUGGAUUAUCUGGAGGUCAGUCACAGAAAGUACAAGAAUGGCAGUUAUCACAGUAAGGCAAAGCAAAACGUAGGGAAGAUGUUCAUCAAGAAGGACACCUUGAAUGACUGGUCAAAAAACAUACCAGUGAAGUUCCACUUUAUUCACAGAUGAGGCAGAUAUCAGAAAUGUUGAAUGUAAGUGGCACUGAUUUAACUGAAUCAAGUAAGCCUCUGUAAGUUAGCCUGUAAUGCUUAUAUUGUUGAUAUGUUCCAGGUUCUAAAAUCAGAAGUGAAACAUGAUUUAUAUGAAUAAGCAUAGCAUCUCUCAAGGCAUAUCACUAAUUGAAAAGACCACAGGUUUAGCUGUGAUCAAGCGUGUUACAACUGAUGCAUAACUGUUAAGAAAGCGAAUGGUUAUUUUUGUACUUCACAAAAUCUGAACUCCCAAAUGUUUCUACAGCGUUUGCAUUUUAACAUACAACAUCAAAGGCUUGAUUCAUUCACCCAUGUAUAAGCUUCUUAUUCCAUUUAAGAUGCACAGACAUACCUGAAACAUCCACAAAGGAAUGAUGCAGGACUUAAAGGAGACCUGUGCAUUACUACAGUGUAAGCUGGAGGCCACGGUGGACACAUAAGGGCAUCUCACAUCCCAUAGAUACCCAUAAAGACUCAUAAAGACUCCAGAAAUUCUUUAACCAUGGAUGUCAGAGCAUCUAUGGUUAAAGAGUACACUCUCUCUGCAUAAGGAAGAAUUUGCUCGGGAAACACUUGGCACAAGAGAACCCUGGGAAAAAAAAAAAAGUCAGUGAUACAAGACUACAUAGGUACCUGAGACAUAGAAACAAGCCUAAAUCAAAGAGCAAUGUAUAACUGUGAUUUUUGGCAAACAGCCUAGAGAAGUCAAAAUGGACAAAGAACUGUAAGAGCCACCAGGUGUUUGCCACAGCCCAGAAAUACAGACCUCGGCAAGAUUACUGCUGUCAGAAAAAAGGAGUGAAGAUACAUCACCUGGUUUACAUUCUGGGACUUGAGCCAGUGAAUGGACUUCUCAGACAAAUGUAUCAUUUUAGUACUGGGCUUAUAGGAAAACUUAUUUAAAUUUUAGGAUUUGGCUGAUAUCCCUGUUCUUCUUUUAAAUUAGAGCUACAAGGUUGCUGUAUGAAAGAGCUGGAGACUUCCCCCGGUUAGCCAUCCCAGCACAAGCCUGGUACAGCACUUGUGGCUUGCAGGGGCCUGGUGUUUAAUGUGGUUUUGGCUAUUGCCAGGGUGAAGGCCAGCAUGACCAUGGUUUUCAUGACAAUGAUGAACAAGCACCAAAAAGCUUUAAGAACAAGAUGUCUCUUUAAUCAUCAGCACUUACCUGCCCAAGCUGAGCUCAAAGUCGCCUUUGUACUUCUAUCAGCCCUGGCAUUGAGAUUAAUUUGGGAAAUAGUUAGAUUAAUUUGAAGGCCUGUUUACCACUGUAAUUUCUUUGAGUUUUCCUUUCACUUAUGCUGUAGCCAGUUCACACAUCAAUCUGUCCUCUGCUGCCACUUCAUUCCAUAGGCUUCUUCCUCACAUCCUGUAUCCAAGGCAGUCUCUGGGCAUCCAAAACAGGUUUUGUUAGACCUGAAAGGUUGCAACAGAGCUGUGUUGAGCACUGUGAUGCCUGCUGAAAUGGAAGAUGCACAUGUGUAGUCCCAGGGAAAGAGACCUUUCUUGUUCAGAAGGGUAGAGAUGGUUGUGACAUGGCAAGUUUUCCAAUGGGGCAGGGUAUUAAAAAUGCCCAUGGCCCUUUGUAGAUAAGAAUGAAUCUGUGCUAGCAGAGAAUUGUCAUUUCAAAGUUGUUUUCAAAUUACAGAUGUAAAGAAAAAGCAACGAAUCCCACAAAAUUGCUCUAUUUGCUUUUUCUUCUCUUUUAACUCGCACACAGCUGAACCAAAUUAUUUUAUGUCCAGUAAAAGUCCUCUCCCAUAAAUGUGCUGGCUGUUUCCUUUCAUAUGAAUUUUUUCCGUAUGCUUUAUGAACUUUUGAAAAUGCAAGGGGAAUAAUUGCAUUGUUGAUAAAAAUAUAGCAUAAGUUGUGGAGACUGCUACACUAAUGAAGAAAGGAAGAAACAUUUUUUUUAGAGUCAGAAAGCCUGGGGCAAAUGAAAAUCUUCUUGGAAACUUCAGUGGUAGUUUUGCUUGAGUGCAGAUUAUGGACUCGUGAGCUCUGUGAGUGGACAGGCAUGCCCAUAUAAUUUUUACGACAUGUGCAUGUUAUUUAAUAGGAUGGUUGCACACAAAAUUCCCAGCCUGGAAAAUCAUUGUCCUAAAUGGAACUGAAGUCCCAGCUUAGAUCAAAAUCUGUCCUUUGCUGCUUUGAAAAAUGAUCAAAAGCUUUGGUGGAAGUUACCCUCUUUCUGUUGCAUACACGUACAAGGUGAAAAGGAUAUUAACAGGGGUCUCUAAGCAUCUCACCUGCUGUCUGGGAUUUGGGGUCCAGGACAAACUACAUUAUGCCCUGUGUCUACAAUCUCUUCAGAUGAAAUUCAGGUAAGAUGGGUGACUUUCUUUGUAUGGAAGAAGAGGAACAUAUGGAUACAGAAAACUGGUAAGAGGCAUGGCAGUCUUCCUAAUGUCCCUCAAUAUAUUUUUCGUAAGUAACAAAUUCCCUUCUACUAAAAAAAAAAAUAGUUGAACCAAUUUAAUAACAUGUUCAAUUGAAAAAAAUUGUUAAGAGGAGGAAACCUUUUGGGUCCCAAUUACUGUUAAUUUGUAAUCCGGUGAGGUCAAGUACCUGAUUAAAUAUUUAUAUAGGAGAAAGGUCAUAGUCUUUUGUGAUCUUCUAUGCCCUGUGUUAAUUUUCCGUCAGAUGCAAUGAGUUCCUUUUGGAGAACACUUUAUCAGAGAAAGUAAGCCUUGCUCUUGGCCUCUGAAAAGGCAACUGUUGGGUUUUGAUGUCAAGCAGCUGAAAUCAAUCUCUUGCAGUUAGGUACAUUUUUAGCCCAAGUUUUUCCAAAGCAAUUUAGCGAUUUUAGGUUUCUCAGGAUUUGAAUGCUCACCUCAAUGCCUUUGAAAGGCAGUAGACUUUAAGGAAAUGAAGACUAUCUGACCUCUGUAAAUUGGGACACUUUAAAGAGGUCUCUGCUGGACAUGUGUGUGUCAUAUGGAAACUUUUGAAAUCACUAGUCACUUUGGAAAAUCUUGCACUCAAAGGAUACAAAAUUUUAUUUUUUUUGUCUAAUUUGUAAUUUGUUUUGUGGCUUAAACCCCACAAAAGAGGCAUGCUGUAUCAAGCUCAGGGUUGUCUGAUUAGAAAAUUAAUAUCUGAGUGGAAUUCAGGCAGUAUCAAAUGGAACCAGCAGAGAUUUGGCAAGGUUUGCAGUUUUCCCCUUGUAUCUAUGGAGGGGCAAACCACCCUGUCUGCUCCUCCAGCUGAAGAGAUGGAGAUAGAGAUCAGCCAGUCUCUAAAACACCUCCCUUCCUAUGGCACUUCAUGGACCAGUGCACUCACUGCAGUCAGGAUGUGGGACCUUGGAUGUUCUCUCAGGGUGAACACAGAAUCUUCUAGGGAGUGGUCAAGUGCCUCAAGUGUUCUGUGGGUGCACCCUGAUCUGGGACAUAGUCUCUAUAGAAAACCCGUUUCGUCAUUCUCAUAUUAAAAGUAGUAUAUUUUUCUUCACACUUUUUUUUUUUUUUCCUUGGGUUUGUUUUUAUUCCUGUUUACCUGGAUUCAUUUUAACUCCUCUCUUUUACAGCAUUUUAUCUAUCUGUGUAUCUCCAUAUGCUAAAUACAAACACAUAUUAGAAAUGUACGUUCAAUCUAAAGGAUCUACACCAGACAAAUAUAUUAGCUAACUUGGAGGCUGCAGAAGGCAUUCAGGGUGCAGAAGGUUGUCAGCAAUUCUAGUUCCUAGAGGCAGCUGAUUUGCCAUAACCAGUUAUAUCAUGUAUCAUUAAAAAAUAUCUCUGUGAGUGUAAGACAUUAUGAGGUUUUGUACUUAUGAUGCAUCUUUUUAGCUGUGGAAAAUCUGUAUGGAGAAAUUCACAAGUGCCACUGGUCCUGCUGCAAUGCCACACAGAAUUCUGAAUUAAUAUUAUUGGAAUGACCCAGUUGAGUAGAACUUGCACUGAUAACGAUGCUUUAUUGAACUGUAAUUUUUUCCCUUUGUAACCCAUGGUUGCUUAUUGACUGAAUUAAUUGUCUUUGGCCAGUGGGCACUAAGUAGUAAUGGAAGAAAAAUAUGACAUCCAUCUAUUUGCAGUAAUGUUUUCCCUCAUUGCUGAUGAGGUUGGAAAUUAUAUGGACAAACCAACUGUAUCCUUAGGAGGGUAGUAUCCUUAAUACACUGCCCUUUCAUGAAGAAUAAUUGUGGAAUCAACAGAACAUAUGGCUGUCAUAAUUUUGGCUACACUUUUCUCUCGUUUGUCCGGUUUGAAAUGUGGGCUCUUGGGAGUAGUGGCUAUUGGUAUUCCCUGUUCAUAUAAUAUUGAGUGGAAAGGAAUGGUCACCCUGUUUGCCUACUAGUGGGCAAUUUUCUAAUAUGAUAUUAUAUAAUACUAUACUCAGAGGGAAGAAUCAUUCACUUAAGAAUAAGAUUAUUUUAAAUAUGAAUAUUUUAAU